UGGGUGGCCACUCCUGCACC
rnacentral:miRNA from 1 species